rnacentral:sRNA from 1 species
GCUGGGCGCAUUGGUGCGUGUCUGUAGUCCCAGCUACUUGGGAGGCUGUAACAGGAGUAUUGCAAGUUUGAGACCAGCCUCAGCAACUUAGCAAGACCCUGUCUCAA